rnacentral:lncRNA from 1 species
CAAUUGUAGGUAAUUGAGCCAGGUCACACCUAAUUGGGCUUAACCAUAUUUUAAAGGUCAAAUUAAGUGAAAUUGGUUGAGUCCGAUUCAGUAGGAUUUGUCAUCCGGAGUCAUCAGGUCUUGCAUCAAAAUCAGAGUCCACCUCAAAGCAGAAUAACCAAAUCAAGAUAUCAAUGGACCCCACACCUUAUCCUUUUUGGCAUCAUCAGCCAGAAAAGAAACUAAAGGUACAGGAAAUAAAUCAAGCAGUUAAUCUCUCCCAUCUAGUCAACCAAUCUAAAUUCUGGAUAUUUUGGUGUGAGGACCCCUAAAAGGCAAGCUAC